CUGACGAACCAUCAUGUCAUUAGUUUGGUGUGGUGGGGAAUCAGGACUGUUACUUUGAAAAAAUUAGAGUGUUUAAAGCAGGCUCGCGCUUGAAUACAUUAGCAUGGAAUAAUGAAAUAGGACGUUGAUCCUAUUUUGUUGGUUUCUAGGAUUGACGUAAUGAUUAAUAGGGAUAGUUGGGGGCAUUAGUAUUCAAUUGUCAGAGGUGAAAUUCUUGGAUUUAUUGAAGACUAACUACUGCGAAAGCAUUUGCCAAGGAUGUUUUCAUUAAUCAAGAACGAAAGUUAGGGGAUCGAAGACGAUCAGGUACCGUCGUAGUCUUAACCAUAAACUAUGCCGACUAGGGAUCAGGAUGAGUUUUUUUU
rnacentral:rRNA from 1 species